rnacentral:antisense_RNA from 1 species
UUUGGCGUUCGGCUUGCGAUCCGCGAUCGCGUUACCCACCGCAUGCAACAAGUGGGUUUUACCCAGGCCGGUUCCGCCGUA